GAUGAACGCUGGCGGCGUGCUUAACACAUGCAAGUCGAACGAUGAAGCCCAGCUUGCUGGGUGGAUUAGUGGCGAACGGGUGAGUAACACGUGAGUAACCUGCCUUUAACUCUGGGAUAAGCCUGGGAAACUGGGUCUAAUACCGGAUAGGAGCGCCUACCGCAUGGUGGGUGUUGGAAAGAUUUAUCGGUUUUGGAUGGACUCGCGGCCUAUCAGCUUGUUGGUGAGGUAAUGGCUCACCAAGGCGACGACGGGUAGCCGGCCUGAGAGGGUGACCGGCCACACUGGGACUGAGACACGGCCCAGACUCCUACGGGAGGCAGCAGUGGGGAAUAUUGCACAAUGGGCGAAAGCCUGAUGCAGCGACGCCGCGUGAGGGAUGACGGCCUUCGGGUUGUAAACCUCUUUCAGUAGGGAAGAAGCGAAAGUGACGGUACCUGCAGAAGAAGCACCGGCUAACUACGUG
rnacentral:rRNA from 1 species